rnacentral:rRNA from 1 species
GGUUAAGCGACUAAGCGUACACGGUGGAUGCCCUGGCAGUCAGAGGCGAUGAAGGACGUGCUAAUCUGCGAAAAGCGUCGGUAAGGUGAUAUGAACCGUUAUAACCGGCGAUGUCCGAAUGGGGAAACCCAGUGCAAUUCGUUGCACUAUCGUUAACUGAAUACAUAGGUUAACGAGGCGAACCGGGGGAACUGAAACAUCUAAGUACCCCGAGGAAAAGAAAUCAACCGAGAUUCCCCCAGUAGCGGCGAGCGAACGGGGAGCAGCCCAGAGUCUGAAUCAGCUUGUGUGUUAGUGGAACGGUCUGGAAAGUCCGACGGUACAGGGUGAUAGUCCCGUACACCAAAAUGCACAGGCUGUGAACUCGAAGAGUAGGGCGGGACACGUGGUAUCCUGUCUGAAUAUGGGGGGACCAUCCUCCAAGGCUAAAUACUCCUGACUGACCGAUAGUGAACCAGUACCGUGAGGGAAAGGCGAAAAGAACCCCGGCGAGGGGAGUGAAAAAGAACCUGAAACCGUGUACGUACAAGCAGUGGGAGCACCUUCGGGUGUGACUGCGUACCUUUUGUAUAAUGGGUCAGCGACUUAUAUUCUGUAGCAAGGUUAACCGUAUAGGGGAGCCGCAGGGAAACCGAGUCUUAACUGGGCGUUAAGUUGCAGGGUAUAGACCCGAAACCCGGUGAUCUAGCCAUGGGCAGGUUGAAGGUUGGGUAACACUAACUGGAGGACCGAACCGACUAAUGUUGAAAAAUUAGCGGAUGACUUGUGGCUGGGGGUGAAAGGCCAAUCAAACCGGGAGAUAGCUGGUUCUCCCCGAAAGCUAUUUAGGUAGCGCCUCGUGAAUUCAUCUUCGGGGGUAGAGCACUGUUUCGGCUAGGGGGUCAUCCCGACUUACCAACCCGAUGCAAACUACGAAUACCGAAGAAUGUUAUCACGGGAGACACACGGCGGGUGCUAACGUCCGUCGUGAAGAGGGAAACAACCCAGACCGCCAGCUAAGGUCCCAAAGUCAUGGUUAAGUGGGAAACGAUGUGGGAAGGCACAGACAGCCAGGAUGUUGGCUUAGAAGCAGCCAUCAUUUAAAGAAAGCGUAAUAGCUCACUGGUCGAGUCGGCCUGCGCGGAAGAUGUAACGGGGCUAAACCAUGCACCGAAGCUGCGGCAGCGACACUAUGUGUUGUUGGGUAGGGGAGCGUUCUGUAAGCCUGCGAAGGUGUGCUGUGAGGCAUGCUGGAGGUAUCAGAAGUGCGAAUGCUGACAUAAGUAACGAUAAAGCGGGUGAAAAGCCCGCUCGCCGGAAGACCAAGGGUUCCUGUCCAACGUUAAUCGGGGCAGGGUGAGUCGACCCCUAAGGCGAGGCCGAAAGGCGUAGUCGAUGGGAAACAGGUUAAUAUUCCUGUACUUGGUGUUACUGCGAAGGGGGGACGGAGAAGGCUAUGUUAGCCGGGCGACGGUUGUCCCGGUUUAAGCAUGUAGGCUGAUUGUCCAGGCAAAUCCGGAUAAUCAAGGCUGAGGUGUGAUGACGAGGCACUACGGUGCUGAAGUAACAAAUGCCCUGCUUCCAGGAAAAGCCUCUAAGCAUCAGGUAACAUUAAAUCGUACCCCAAACCGACACAGGUGGUCAGGUAGAGAAUACCAAGGCGCUUGAGAGAACUCGGGUGAAGGAACUAGGCAAAAUGGUGCCGUAACUUCGGGAGAAGGCACGCUGGUGUGUAGGUGAAGUCCCUGCGGAUGGAGCUGAGACCAGUCGAAGAUACCAGCUGGCUGCAACUGUUUAUUAAAAACACAGCACUGUGCAAACACGAAAGUGGACGUAUACGGUGUGACGCCUGCCCGGUGCCGGAAGGUUAAUUGAUGGGGUUAUCCGUAAGGAGAAGCUCUUGAUCGAAGCCCCGGUAAACGGCGGCCGUAACUAUAACGGUCCUAAGGUAGCGAAAUUCCUUGUCGGGUAAGUUCCGACCUGCACGAAUGGCGUAAUGAUGGCCAGGCUGUCUCCACCCGAGACUCAGUGAAAUUGAACUCGCUGUGAAGAUGCAGUGUACCCGCGGCAAGACGGAAAGACCCCGUGAACCUUUACUAUAGCUUGACACUGAACAUUGAGCCUUGAUGUGUAGGAUAGGUGGGAGGCUUUGAAGCGUGGACGCCAGUCUGCGUGGAGCCAACCUUGAAAUACCACCCUUUAAUGUUUGAUGUUCUAACGUUGGCCCCUGACCGGGGUUGCGGACAGUGUCUGGUGGGUAGUUUGACUGGGGCGGUCUCCUCCCAAAGCGUAACGGAGGAGCACGAAGGUUAGCUAAUCCUGGUCGGACAUCAGGAGGUUAGUGCAAUGGCAUAAGCUAGCUUGACUGCGAGCGUGACGGCGCGAGCAGGUGCGAAAGCAGGUCAUAGUGAUCCGGUGGUUCUGAAUGGAAGGGCCAUCGCUCAACGGAUAAAAGGUACUCCGGGGAUAACAGGCUGAUACCGCCCAAGAGUUCAUAUCGACGGCGGUGUUUGGCACCUCGAUGUCGGCUCAUCACAUCCUGGGGCUGAAGUAGGUCCCAAGGGUAUGGCUGUUCGCCAUUUAAAGUGGUACGCGAGCUGGGUUUAGAACGUCGUGAGACAGUUCGGUCCCUAUCUGCCGUGGGCGCUGGAGAAUUGAGGGGGGCUGCUCCUAGUACGAGAGGACCGGAGUGGACGCAUCACUGGUGUUCGGGUUGUCAUGCCAAUGGCACUGCCCGGUAGCUAAAUGCGGAAGAGAUAAGUGCUGAAAGCAUCUAAGCACGAAACUUGCCCCGAGAUGAGUUCUCCCUGAGACUUUAAGUCUCCUGAAGGAACGUUGAAGACGAUGACGUUGAUAGGCCGGGUGUGUAAGCGCAGCGAUGCGUUGAGCUAACCGGUACUAAUGAACCGUGAGGCUUAACCUU